rnacentral:rRNA from 1 species
AGAGUUUGAUCCUGGCUCAGGACGAACGCUGGCGGCGUGCUUAACACAUGCAAGUCGAGCGAUGAAGCUUCCUUCGGGAAGUGGAUUAGCGGCGGACGGGUGAGUAACACGUGGGUAACCUGCCUCAAAGUGGGGGAUAGCCUUCCGAAAGGAAGAUUAAUACCGCAUAAUAUAAGAGAAUCGCAUGAUUUUCUUAUCAAAGAUUUAUUGCUUUGAGAUGGACCCGCGGCGCAUUAGCUAGUUGGUAAGGUAACGGCUUACCAAGGCAACGAUGCGUAGCCGACCUGAGAGGGUGAUCGGCCACAUUGGAACUGAGACACGGUCCAGACUCCUACGGGAGGCAGCAGUGGGGAAUAUUGCGCAUGGGGGAACCCUGACGCAGCAACGCCGCGUGGGUGAUGAAGGUCUUCGGAUUGUAAAGCCCUGUUUUCUAGGACGAUAAUGACGGUACUAGAGGAGGAAGCCACGGCUAACUACGUGCCAGCAGCCGCGGUAAUACGUAGGUGGCGAGCGUUGUCCGGAUUUACUGGGCGUAAAGGGUGCGUAGGCGGAUGUUUAAGUGGGAUGUGAAAUCCCCGGGCUUAACCUGGGGGCUGCAUUCCAAACUGGAUAUCUAGAGUGCAGGAGAGGAAAGCGGAAUUCCUAGUGUAGCGGUGAAAUGCGUAGAGAUUAGGAAGAACACCAGUGGCGAAGGCGGCUUUCUGGACUGUAACUGACGCUGAGGCACGAAAGCGUGGGUAGCAAACAGGAUUAGAUACCCUGGUAGUCCACGCCGUAAACGAUGGAUACUAGGUGUAGGGGGUAUCAACUCCCCCUGUGCCGCAGUUAACACAAUAAGUAUCCCGCCUGGGGAGUACGGUCGCAAGAUUAAAACUCAAAGGAAUUGACGGGGGCCCGCACAAGCAGCGGAGCAUGUGGUUUAAUUCGAAGCAACGCGAAGAACCUUACCUGGACUUGACAUCCCUUGCAUAGCCUAGAGAUAGGUGAAGCCCUUCGGGGCAAGGAGACAGGUGGUGCAUGGUUGUCGUCAGCUCGUGUCGUGAGAUGUUAGGUUAAGUCCUGCAACGAGCGCAACCCUUGUUAUUAGUUGCUACCAUUAAGUUGAGCACUCUAAUGAGACUGCCUGGGUAACCAGGAGGAAGGUGGGGAUGACGUCAAAUCAUCAUGCCCCUUAUGUCCAGGGCUACACACGUGCUACAAUGGUAGGUACAAUAAGACGCAAGACCGUGAGGUGGAGCAAAACUUAUAAAACCUAUCUCAGUUCGGAUUGUAGGCUGCAACUCGCCUACAUGAAGCUGGAGUUGCUAGUAAUCGCGAAUCAGAAUGUCGCGGUGAAUACGUUCCCGGGCCUUGUACACACCGCCCGUCACACCAUGAGAGCUGGUAACACCCGAAGUCCGUGAGGUAACCGUAAGGAGCCAGCGGCCGAAGGUGGGAUUAGUGAUUGGGGUGAAGUCGUAACAAGGUAACC